GACGAACGCUGGCGGCGUGCCUAACACAUGCAAGUCAACUUGACUGAAGGAGCAAUCUGACAGUAGAGUGGCGCAAGGGUGCGUAACGCGUAAGUAACUUGCCCAAGGUAAGGAAUAACGUCGAGAAAUCGGCGCUAAUACCUCAUAAUGCAGCGGAUCCGCAUGGAUAUGUUGUUAAAGGUUUACCGCCUUGGGAUAGGCUUGCGUCUGAUUAGCUAGUUGGUGUGGUAACGGCACACCAAGGCUACGAUCAGUAACUGGUCUGAGAGGAUGAUCAGUCACACUGGAACUGAGACACGGUCCAGACUCCUACGGGAGGCAGCAGUGAGGAAUAUUGGGCAAUGCUCGAAAGAGUGACCCAGCAACGCCGCGUGGAGGAUGAAGGUAUUCUAUAUCGUAAACUCCUGUGAGAGCAGACGAAGGACAGAUUAUUAAUCUGGAUGACUGUAUGCUCAGAGGAAGCCCCGGCUAACUAC
rnacentral:rRNA from 1 species